CCUACGGGUGGCAGCAGUGGGGAAUAUUGCACAAUGGGGGGAACCCUGAUGCAGCGACGCCGCGUGGGUGAAGAAGUGCCUCGGCAUGUAAAGCCCUAUCAGCAGGGAAGAAACAAGACGGUACCUGACUAAGAAGCCCCGGCUAACUACGUGCCAGCAGCCGCGGUAAUACGUAGGGGGCGAGCGUUAUCCGGAUUCACUGGGUGUAAAGGGAGCGUAGGCGGCCUUGCAAGACUGAGGUGAAAACCCGGGGCCCAACCCCGGGACUGCGCUUGAAACUGCCUGGCUGGAGUGUGGGAGGGGCAGGCGGAAUUCCUAGUGUAGCGGUGAAAUGCGUAGAUAUUAGGAGGAACACCAGUGGCGAAGGCGGCCUGCUGGACGGCUACUGACGCUGAGGCUCGAAAGCGUGGGGAGCGAACAGGAUUAGAUACCCUGGUAGUC
rnacentral:rRNA from 1 species